CAACAUCAUAUUGUAGAGGUAAAUGAAUCGUUCACUGAUAAACAGUCUUUCAAGCACUUUAAAUCUUAGAUACCGGUACCACAUUGACUACCUUCUUACAAUCGAGUCAAAACAGGAUAUAAAUUGUACACAUGUGAAUGUCAUACUUUAAAAACCUAUGAAUAUAAUAGUUACGUGUCUAAUUUUCUAUUAACUUUUAUGUUAUUUGUAUUGAAUGAUUCGCUUCCCCGUUUCAUUAGCCAGCAAGCGUUUGUCCAAAACGUCCUUACGUUUUCACAAUGAAGGCUGGUAUUUGCUUACCUUUCAUUGCAUUUAUAGCAAUUUGUAAUGGAGAUAUGCCACAUUAAGAUAUUAAUAAUGCUCCUGAAUUAUUCGAGUUGUUUAUGAAGAAUUACAAUCGUCACUACAAGAACGAGGCUGACAAAGAAGUUCAUUAUCUAGCUUUUGUUGAAACUUUGAAAGUUAUCAACAGACGGAAUGCGUUACCCCAUAGCGAUACACAUGACAUUAACAAAUUUUCUGACUACACGCCGGAAGAACUGAAAAAAAUAUAUAUGGCUGUAAUCCUCCAGGUGAGAUAUAUCAAUAUGUGUCGUUAUAAUAGAAACUUCUAGUCUGACUCUGUGAUUAAAAUGUAAGCGUUGUAAAAGAAAAAUAUCUAUCGUUGUUUUACUUUUUAUUUUAAUUAAAAUCACAAAAUAGUUAAAAUUUAUUAAAAGUCUAUAAAUUAAAACAGAUAACGGACAUAAAUCCGAACAAUAAAAAUAAAAAAGGACAUACUUUUUAGAAUUAUCCUUAACGUACCCAUGCUUCUAGUCGAAGAAAGCUGUUGUUUCCAGAUAUAUACAUAUAUUUCUUGUAUCAUUUAUCACAUUAUAAAAUGUUAGGUAAACAAUAGUCUAUCCAACAUAUAUGCGAGUAUUUGGAAUUAGUCGCUAUAUAAUAAAAUAGCGAUUUGUCAAAAAUAUAUAAACUAUUACGAAUACUUCUAAGUAAAUUAAAAAAAAAUGAUUAUAAUAUUAUUUUUUAUUGUUUCUGAUAAUAAUUAAGACACGUUAAAGUAAUCAUAUAUCAUGCUUAUACCUAGGAAUACGUUCAAAUCAAUUAUAAUUUUUGCAUAUUGAGAAAGCAUUCUGAUAAAUACUGUUUUGAUUUUUUUUUGUCUUAAAUUAAGAUAAGCUACUUGAAAAAAAAUAUAAACAAACUAUAUUUUAGGAUUUCUAUACCCAUGUUUAAAAAUAUGCGUAUAUGAACCCAAAAAAGACAAAUGUGGUUACGAAAUCGAAAUAGUCACACUAUCAACAAAAUUGGUACUUAAUAUUUCCAAAAUGUAUGUUAAUAAAAACUUUAAUAUUUCGGAAUCUUGAGCCUUCUUACAUGAUUCGAACCCUACUUUGUUAUUUUGUGCUCCAAUACGUAAUUAAUUAUUGCUACAAUAUUAACGUAUUUAUCUUCUAGAGUCGAUAGAGUUCUUAAAAUAUCAUAUAUCUUGGUCCUUGCCACACGCUGGGUUUUUCAUACAGAACCUUUAUUUCCUUGUAAAGUUUUGACUCUAAGAAGAUCUAUGAACUAUUCAUGAUGGCCAAACAUACAGCAUGUGAUUAACUGCUGUUUUGAUUUAUAGUUAUUUAAAAAAAUACAUAAAAUAUAAAAUUACAAAGUAGUCAAACUGCGGGUGGUUAGGUUAUUAACCGAACUUUGUAAAUUCCUUGAUAAAAUAGCAAAUGAUACAAAUAAAUAGCUGUGAAAAUAAUAGCUACGUGACUAAUAUAUUAUUACCUAUUAUGUUAUCUGUAUUGUGGCUAUAUAAGAGAGUGAUUUGCUUCCCAGUCUCAUAAGCUAGCUCUCGUCUGUCCACAACAUACCUACGUUUUCAUAAUGAAGGCCGUUAUUUGUUUAUUUUUCAUCGCACUUAUUGCAAUUUCUAAUGGAGACAAGCCACAUUACGAUAUUAAUAAAGCUCCUGAAUUAUUCGAGUUGUUUAUGAAGAAUUACAAUCGUCACUACAAGAACGAGGCUGACAAAGAAGCUCAUUACCAGGCAUUUGUUGAAAAUCUGAAAACUAUCAACAGACUGAAUGCGUUACCCCAUAGCGCUACACAUGACAUUAACAAAUUUUCUGACUACACGCCGGAAGAACUGAAACAAAUUCAUGGUUUAUUAUCAUGAGAUAACAAUUAGUGUACAUAAACGCUGAUUUUGUUUUAAAACAUUGGACAAGUUGAAAUCGGUCAUCAUUAUGACAACCGUCUUAUCAUGCCAAUAAAACUGUUCUCAAAUUUUUGUUUCAUUAACUAACAAUUUUAAUGAAAGUUAAUUUUUGUAUAAAUAAAGCAUGUGAGCUUAUUUCCACUUCAA